UCAGAUCACCCUCCAAAGGGAAGGUUAAGA
rnacentral:piRNA from 1 species